ACAGACAGAAACACGUGCAGAACACCAUGUGAUGACAGACAGAGAGAGUGGAGCAAUAGCUCUACAAACCGAGGCUCACCCAGGGCGGCCAGCAAACCCCGGAAACCAGGAAGGGACCAGGAAGGACCAUUCCUUGGGCAGUGAGAUCAUGGGCCUGCCAACACAUGCAUUUCAAACUUACAGCCUCUGGAACUAUGGACUUUUACCAUUAAAAGAAUUCCCAACACCUGGCAUCUGCUUUGCACCUAGUUUUAGGAUCAGGCUUAUGCUGCCUUCAUAAAAUGAAUUGAGAAGGAGAGUUUUAGGUUAAUAGAGAAGUUGCAAGGAUAUAAUAGGCCCAAAGACCCAGCUCACUGAGGACGGCAUCCUCAAAGGGACUGCAGUCUCCACUCGGGAAAGUAUUUGGUACCUGGAUCCGAGUUCAGCAGCUAUGAAGAGACACUAGCCGGCCACCCGUGCAGCGUUCCUUUGUGGCAGACAAUGGCACUUGGGAAAUGCCACACGCAUUAGAAGCAGACGCGGAUUGUCUGAGGAGCCUGUGCAAUGGAAACUCCAACUGAAAUCGCACAGAAUCACGAACAUUCUACUUCAAGGGGCUGGAAGAGGGGGGAGGAAGAAAAAGCCUGAGUAUCAUUUUCCAACAGGCCUGGGCUGCUAUAAAUACGUGCACGGCUGCAGCGACAGCAUGGAAGCAUCAGAGGGCUGGGAAAGAAGCUGUGAAGUACACAUGCUGACUGCCACAGUUUAACAGAUGAGGAAACAGAGGCAGCAAGAGAGAGAGUCACACAGAGAGAUAAAGGAACCAGCCAUUGAAGAAAUGGACCAAAUCUAAAACAUCUCACAAGGAGUCCGCUCCUUGGUGCAAUUGACCAAUGUGUCUGAGCGGUGAAACUAAGCUGAGGUCCACUGGGAAUUUUUCGCUUGUUUUUCGAGCACUCAGAUCCAGCUGACCCUCCGGCUCAGUCUCCAUACCCUGCAUAAUCUCCAGCCUGGGCUGUGCUGACCACACCUCUCUGGAAAACUUGGACCAAGGAACAAAUCCAGUUCAGGAUCACCCGAUCCCACCAGCAGCGGCAGGUCUCUAUUAGUGGGUGAGCCACACAAAUUAAAUGUGGAUGCCAGAAAGGGGGUUCUCAGAAAAGUUUUAAUUGGAAGAAUACAGCACAAACGUACAUGAUUAAAAGCAUUGCCUGGAGUUCCUGAACAGGGUAGAAUUUUUUUUUUUUAAACCCAAAGCCUGGUCCUUCUCUGCUGAUUAAAGGAUACAUCUUGUCAAGCUGCACAGUGGUGGUGGUGUGACGGCCUAAUGCCUGAGUGUGAACAAAAAAAUCCGAGGCUCAGACCCCACUCACUCUGCUCUUCCAGUUGAUCCAACAAAGCCUUCCGACGUGAUAGUAUCCCAGGCCCAGGAAAGGAGAAACAGUUUCCCACCCAGGUCUCGGGAAGGUGGUGGGCAGUGUCUUGCAGAGAUGCUCUCAGUGGUACAAGAAAGCCUCUCAAAACUCUCCCAAACCCUAAAAGAUUCAGCCCAAAUUAAGGACUUUGUUAGCAGCGGAUUGCCAAAGCUUUUCCUCCUUUUAUUUCUUCUGUUGACUUGCCACAAGCUGCACAAAAGGAACCUAUUUCUCCUUCUGCCCACAGAUUCCCGCCUCAGAAGCCUUUCCAAGAAAUCAUCCAGUUCUUUCUCAAAUGUAAGGGCUUUCAUUCUCUGUCCUUUGUGCUGUUUAUCUUGGUAAUUUCUUUCCAUUUUUAGUUUUUUUUUUUUUUCCUACCUACCCAAAGUUAAGCACAUGGUUUACAAUGAGAGGAAGAUUGUGCCAUCUCAAUGCUGUGACCAAGCCAAACAGGUUCCAGGCCUUACUCUUUGUAAGCAUGCGCAGCAGAGGAAAAGGUAUUUAUUUAAGGUUAAGGACAAAUCGUCCAUAGUUGGAAUGAUUAAUCACCUCCCAGUUUGUGAAAAAUGAUGGGGCUAGGAUGCAGAAUUUGUAGGGAGCUGAAAGGUUGAAUUACAUGCUAGCAGGUGAGGUGGGAGCCUGCGAAAAAUGAAUAUAUUUCCAUGGUGAGUCCGUAUGUGGAACAUCUAAAGACACAGCUACUCUGCAAAAAUAUAUCAGGAAAACAUUACCCUAUCUGCACCCACAGUAACUUCUCUGUUAUUAGUUUCUUUAACAAACAAUCCAGGCAAACUCAGGUUUUCUUAGUUUCUUUUACAAUGUUAUAUACCCUUGAAAUGUCACCUAAAGGUAUUUUGCUAACAGAUCAUAGAAAUAAAUGGAAAAUCUCUUAAACACGGCUCCAAAAAAGUCCCAUGCUGCAACAUGUACAGAAUAAAAGCUCUACCUGUGACCACUUUCCAACUGAAGGUGGUGGCUUGUUAUGCAAAUAAAAUCGAUUUUGAAUUGGUUCUGCUGAAAACUGCAAACAGGCCAAGAGUAAACACGGCACACCUUCAAGCUGGCUCGUAUACAUCUUGUCAGAGUGGAGGAUAUCGUGGUACGACUGAUCACAUAGAAGCCAGUGAUCCUGAAGUGUAGAGAAGGAAAGUGGAGAGAGACUUCAGAUCUGUCUGUCCGGGUCUAUAAGAGGAGCAUCUGCUUAUGAAUUUGAUCAAAGACCGAUAUCCUGGAGCAAAUGACCCCUUUUCCUGUUCCCUCCUAGGGAGUCAUUCUGGACACUUCCACAAGUCUUCAUUUCUACAUCUAAUUGGCCAGCAGAACCUGUAGAACCCACCUCUCAGUAGAACCGCCUCCUUCCCACCUCACCUGCCAUGGCCUUAGGCCUGGCCUGUGGCAUCUCUUCCUUCACUCGAGCAGCCAGCUUGCACCUCUCCUCUCCAGCCCCUGCUCUAGCAUCGCUGGCUUUACCUGCCAAGCAGAGCUUUCUGGAAUACAAAGCUACAUGCCAUUGGACUGCUUAAGAGCCUUCAGUGGGUUCCGGUUCUUGCAAAGGUGAAUUAAGCGCACACCACCUCCAUGUCUGCCAGUGACUACAGUUAAAAGUCCCUGGAGAAAAUGGAUUAAGUAGCUCCUGGAGGAUGCAGAGAAGUAAAAUGAUAGCAAGCAGACUGGGGGGAAAGGAAAGCAGUACUCCAAGUAUCACGGAACCAGGAGCAGAUGCAGUCACAAGAAGAGAGUGACAGAACAGGGAGACGAAAGCACCGGAUUUCUAGCCAGUGGACCAGCUUGGGAGCUGGAAAGUUCCAGGGAGGUCAAGGUAGCAAUCCUAUUAAGUUGUGUAUGAACCUCUGGCUCAUCCUCGAGCUGCACACGCAUAGACUAACUCCAACUUCUGAACGUGUAAAAUGAACAAGAUUUUGGGGGCUGAAGAUGUUUGAAAGACCUGCCAUGAAAACUGUCCAGUAAGAAAUUCUUAGAAAGACAAAAGAUUGUUAAGGAUACAUCUAAAAUUUAAGUUGAAGCCAUUUUGCUAUUUUUAACAGGACGCCUUCAAAAUAGGUUUUAUCACUACCCCUUUCUCAUCCACCAUCCUUCUGUAAAAAGCUUUCAUCGCUUGCCAUCCUUGUGUGAGGGGGAAAAUCAAGGAAAAGUAGUGAUUUUGUGUGUGUGUGUGGCUAAGAUGGCAAACCAAUGAAGAGUCCUGCUCACCCUUCCACAGCACAGCGCUAUUGCUGAGAAUCAGUCGCUCCAUCAAGAACCCAUUUCUCAGCCCCUCUUGAUUCCAGGUAGGACAAUGUGGUUGGCUGGUGGUCACCAAAGGAAGGUAAGCAAAAGUUGUUGUUCAGGCCCUCAGUCGUGCCCUCUCGACUCUUGAACCACAGCCAGGCUUCCCUGUCCUUCACCAUCACCCAGAGUUUGUUCAAACUCGAGUCCAUUGAAUGAGCAAAAGUGAUGCAUCUGAAUUCCCAGAAGGCAGCUAGAAAGCAUCUGUGUCUUCUUUGAUCUACUACCUGCUCUCCCAACUGGAUGUAGAUGUCUCCUUGAACCUGGGAGAGGGAAGGAGUCCUUGCUUAUCACAGGGAGAAAAACCGCCUGCCAGCUGGAAACAUUCACCUUUGACUAUUGAGCGAAAAGUAAAUCCUCAUCUAUAGACUUUGUUCCAUGGUAGUUAGCAUGACCCUGAGCAUAACAAUUGUGCACUUGGGUGAGUCAGUGUCACUGCUGGCAAAGAAGAGCUUGAGGGUAGGGGAGAAGAAAGCAUGUGAAACCAAGGUUUCCAUUCAGGCCAGAAGGAGCCUUUAAGAUUGAGAGCCUUGGAAACACACGGACGCUUUGAUGUGGGCAUAGGGCUGCCUGCUAGACAUGGCCUAGGGAGUUGCGGCUGAUUUUACGUAAACCUCCAUGGACAGGGUGGCCUCAGCUGAUCGCUCUCCUCUGCGGCUUUUUGACAGCAGGAUGCAGUGCUUUGCAUUUCGAAGCUGUCUUAAUACCUGGGGUACAGAAGGACUCUCUCAAAAGAUGUUUAGUGUCAACGAUAUUCUGCUGUAAAUGCUUAUGCAGAAUAAAAGAUCCUUUCAGACAGUGAA